rnacentral:rRNA from 1 species
UUCCGGUUGAUCCCGCCGGACCUGACUGCUAUCGGAUUGAUACUAAGCCAUGCGAGUCUUUGCAGUAAUGCAAGGCAUACGGCUCAAUAACACGUAGUCAACUUACCCUAUGGACGAGGAUAAUCUCGGGAAACUGAGCAUAAUACUCGAUAGAUCAUAAUGCCUGGAAUGGUUUAUGGUUGAAAUGAUUCGUCGCCAUAGGAUGGGACUGCGGCCUAUCAGCUUGUUGGUGAGGUAAUGGCCCACCAAGGCGAUUACAGGUACGGGCUCUGAGAGGAGAAGCCCGGAGAUGGGUACUGAGACAAGGACCCAGGCCCUAUGGGGCGCAGCAGGCGAGAAAACUUUGCAAUGUGCGAAAGCACGACAAGGUUAAUCCGAGUGAUUUCUGCUAAAGAAAUCUUUUGCAAGUCAUAAAACCACUAGUGAAUAAGGGGUGGGCAAGUUCUGGUGUCAGCCGCCGCGGUAAAACCAGCACCUCAAGUGGUCAGGAGGAUUAUUGGGCCUAAAGCAUCCGUAGCCGGCUCUGUAAGUUUUCGGUUAAAUCCAUGUGCUCAACGCAUGGGCUGCCGAAAAUACUGCAUAGCUAGGGAGUGGGAGAGGUAGACGGUACUCGGUAGGAAGGGGUAAAAUCCUUUGAUCUAUCGAUGACCACCUGUGGCGAAGGCGGUCUACCAGAACACGUUCGACGGUGAGGGAUGAAAGCUGGGGGAGCAAACCGGAUUAGAUACCCGGGUAGUCCCAGCUGUAAACGAUGCAGACUCGAUGAUGCAUUGGCAUAUAGCCAGUGCAGUGUCGCAGGGAAGCCGUUAAGUCUGCCGCCUGGGAAGUACGUACGCAAGUAUGAAACUUAAAGGAAUUGGCGGGGGAGCACCACAAGGGGUGAAGCCUGCGGUUCAAUUGGACUCAACGCCGGA